CCCCUGGCACUGGGGCCACUGUCUCAGGGACACGGCCAGGGGCCCCUGGCACCCAGGCCACCAUUGCAGGGACACAGCCAGGGUCCYCKGGCACYSRGRCCACYGUCYCAGGGACACAGCCAGGGUCCCCUGGCACUGGGGCCACCGUCUCAGGGACACAGCCAGGGUCCCCUGGCACUGGGGCCACCAUCCCAGGGACACAGCCAGCACCACCAGGGGUCCAAGCAGGAGGUGCAGGAGUUCAGCCAAGGCCCCUUGGCAGCAGACCCAGCCUUCCUGACGCUCGGACGGUCCCCCCUGAAGCCAGACUCGGUGCUCCGGGGGCACAGACCGAUGCUCCGAGCCCUGAGRAGGGCCGUGAGGCUUUGCCCAGCACACGGGGUGCCCCAGCAGGCUCCCCCGCAGCCCAGCGUGGCCCCCCGACAGCAGACCCCACUGCUACAGCCCACCAGCCGGAGACCCCCUCCAGCACAGACGCCAGGACCACGUCCUCUUCGCGAGAGAGGGACAUGGUGGCCCUGCCCCGGGGGCCCGCGGGCUCGCCCAGCGCCUCCGACCGCCACGCGGAGCCGGAGGCUCUCCGCCAGGUCGGGCAGCUCAGCAGCCUCUACGCAGCCUUGAAGGAGCAGGUGGCCCAGCUGGAGCUGACCAAGUGCGACCGAGCCGAGCUCGAGAAGCUGCGUCUGCUCUUCAUGGAGGCAGGCCACAUCUCUCUAGACCAGAAGAGCAGGCCCAGCAUCCUGGAUGACCUCCUGGACCAGGUGGCCUCUCUGCAGACCGUGGCCAGCGACCUGCAAGGUGAAAAGGCAAAGAUCAARCAGCUGCAGAACGUCGUUGAAAGGAUGGCGGUGCCAGGAGCCGACCAGAAAGCGGAGGGCACCAACCAGAUAAACCUGCAGUUAGGCUGUCUCAGGUAAAAGAAAGCCAGAAGGUUUCCUAUACCCUGCCCUGGACUUGCCCUCG
rnacentral:lncRNA from 1 species